UUGUCAGUGGCUCAGAUGGUAAAGAAUCUGCCUGUAAUGCAGGAGACCCAGGUUUGAUUCCUGGGUGAGGAA
rnacentral:tRNA from 1 species